CCCCUGUGCCAGAUGUGGCGUCGGGAGUGGGAGCGCCGACGGGACUUGGAGCGUCUGUGGGACUGUGAUCAUGAACGGUGCUGCUCUGCUGUGCUGACAGAGG